rfam:Salmo salar isolate Sally breed double haploid chromosome ssa12, whole genome shotgun sequence.
AUGACUCACUACUGUAAGUCUCUCUGGAUAAGAGCGUCUGCUAAAUGACUGAAA